UAGGGAAUCUUCCACAAUGGGCGAAAGCCUGAUGGAGCAACGCCGCGUGUGUGAUGAAGGGUUUCGGCUCGUAAACACUGUUGUAAGAGAAGAAUGACAUUGAGAGUAACUGUUCAAUGUGUGACGGUAUCAUACCAGAAAGGAACGGCUAAAUACGUGCCAC
rnacentral:rRNA from 1 species